rnacentral:rRNA from 1 species
GGAGUAUGUGGUUUAAUUCGAUGCAACGCGAAGAACCUUACCUGGUCUUAAGACAUCCCGGAGACCCUUAGGAAACGUAGGGGUGCUUCCAUCUGGAAGAAUCUGGAGACAGGUGCUGCAUGGCUGUCGUCAGCUCGUGUCGUGAGAUGUUGGGUUAAGUCCCGCAACGAGCGCAACCCUUGCCUUUAGUUGCCAGCAGUUCGGCUGGGCACUCUAAAGGGACUGCCGGUGUUAAACCGGAGGAAGGUGGGGAUGACGUCAAGUCCUCAUGGCCUUUAUGACCAGGGCUACACACGUACUACAAUGGCCGAUACAAAGGGCAGCGACACUGCGAGGUGAAGCCAAUCCCGUAAAAUCGGUCUCAGUCCGGAUUGGAGUCUGCAACUCGACUCCAUGAAGUUGGAAUCGCUAGUAAUCGUGGAUCAGCAUGCCACGGUGAAUACGUUCCCGGGCCUU